rnacentral:rRNA from 1 species
AGAAUCAACGCUGGCGGCGUGCCUCAGACAUGCAAGUCGAACGAUUAAAGCUCUCUUCGGAGAGUGUAUAGAGUGGCGCACGGGUGAGUAACACGUAAGUAAUCUACCUUUGAGUGGGGAAUAACAUCGGGAAACCGAUGCUAAUACCGCAUAAUGCAGCGGCAUCGCAAGAUGACAG